rnacentral:misc_RNA from 1 species
UUUAAGAACCAAAAGGGUUUUGCACCUGUAACAUUAGUUGUCAAGGGGCAAAAUGUGCCACCAAGUGAAACUGUGAAUGAGGAAAAGGAUGAGUUGCCUACAAUUCCAGACAGGGAACAGUAUAACAAAGCGGAUUCCCCGAAGAUUACAGUGAUGGUAAGUUUUUUGUUAUCAAGUCUUAUAGCGAGGAUGAUGUCCAUAAGAGCAUAAAGUAUAAUGUGUGGCCCAACCAUCUCCGCAAGGCCAACAAGCUUGAUGCAGCGUAUCAGGAGAAUGGAUGCCUUGUGUUUCUCUUCUUCUUGGUAAAUACUAGUGGUCAAUUCAUUGGCCUUGUGGAGAUGGUGGGACCAGUUGAUUUUAACAAGAAUAUGGAAUACUGGCAAUAAACAAGUGGACUGGCUGUUUCCCAUUAAAGUGGCACAAUGUCAAGGAUAUACCCGAUAGUUUGUUGAAGCACAUUAGCCUUGAGAACAAUGAGAACAAACCUGAAACUAGCAGCAGGGACACGCAAGAGGGGCUUAAAAUGAUCAAAAUAUUCAAAGAUCAUUCCAGCAAAACAUUUAUUUUGGAUGAUUUUGGAUUUUAUGAGAAGCGGCAGAAGAUAAUUCAGGAGAAGGCUUAGCAACAGCAGAGUUCCAGAAAUAGGUGCUGGAUGGAAAGCUUGAAGAUGGGAAGAAAGAAGUGGCAAAUGGAUCAAAUAAUCGGAGAUUAUGAGUGAUUUGACCAGGGAACCCACUUCAACUGCUCUGUCCAAUGGGGACACAAAACAUUCAAAGAAUGGGUCAGUUGCAAAAAUUGUAGAUGCCUUGAAGGCAAGUAAGCCGCAUGCCUUAGAGGAGCGGAAUGUAGCAAAUGGGAUUGCCAAUGGUUGCUAAAUAUUACCAUGCUCUAGUGGCCUGUAAUCUUGUAGGGAUUAGUUUGAGGUUUAUCGAAAGUUUUGUUGCAUGAGAGUAGAAUCUGAUCUAAUUGCUGUCGAUGCUCUUUGAGCCUUGCGAUGCUGUUAUGGAGCUGCCUUGUUGCUUUGAAGACCUCAACAUUAUUUGGAGGGAUGGAAAAUAGUCUUGAGAUUCUUCAAAGCAACAAGGCAGCUCCAUAACA